GGAAAAUUGACUUAGGAGAUGAAGUGGUCAAGCCAUCAACAAACUGUUGUGGCAAAAAAGAACCAUAAAGACAUCCUUGACUUUGUAAAGAGAGAAAAAAUCAUGCUCUGAACUGAACACCUGGACUGCUUCUAGGUUUGAAAUAAAUGGAUCUGGGAUAGACAUUCUUCCUUUCACAGAAAUAAGGACCUGGCAGCAUUUGGCUGAGAUGCUCACCUUGAACUCAUAGAGUCACCAGGAACCAUGGCAAACUGCCAGGUCAAAGAGGUAAAUGAGGAGUAUCACCAACACUGUGACACCUCUAACACAGACUACUAACACAGGCUGCUAAAGCUGGAAAGUGCAGUGCUUAAAAACAAGCCUGAAAUGACUGUACAAUAUUCAUAUUUCACAAAGUCACACCUUCCCUUUCUUCUUUUCUUUCAAAAGUCAGAACAGUAGGUUACAUGCUCUCAUUCUUUUAUUUUUCCUCAUAGGUUAGGUGAAGUUAUUUCUUUUAAUUCUGUAAUUAGAUCUGAAAACCAAUGCCAUGACCUCAACAUUAUCCUUUUUCUUAGAAAAUCUAGUAACAGAGCAAAGAUAGUUAAAAGAUAGCACGAACUAACAACAACUCUGGCAGCAGGAUGCAAAAGGUCAUACAACAACCUGCUUGGAUGAUUUGUCCCCUGGUGGAGCUGCAGUCACCAUUUCCCUUCAUGGCCUGACUCUAUAACAAAAGUUGUCUAGAUAAAUGAAACACAUUUUGCAUUACUUAUUGAAUUAAUGAUAUAAUAACUACUUGCUAGAAGGAAAUCUAUCACACCAAACAAUAGUGUUUAAGAUGAACUUGUAACUCCCAUCAGAUACUUCAGGCCAGAUUGGAGAGAAAAUCUUGCUUGAAGUGAAUUGUAUGCAACAGAAUAAGGGACCUGUGUUAAAUCUGGCCAUAACUUUCAUGAUUUCCCAUGGAUUAAAAGGAUUUUAUAGGUCUGUAGUCUUAAUCUAUCUCCUGCUGGUACAAUAUAUAGCUUGUCUAUAUAUUGACACAAG
ensembl:lncRNA